ensembl:lncRNA
GAGACGGGACAGAACUAUACUUUAGAGUGUUUCUGAGCAAACUAAGUAAAGAAAAAAAAACUUUUUAAUGAUUUUUCCAGUUUUGUUAAUCUGGGUAACUUGAUUCACAGAUAUUUAAAGUUACACUUGGCUACAUUGUAUUAGAUUGUACAAUGAAACUAAGCAAGACAAACCUGAUCUCGCUCUUCACACUGAUUCUGGUAUUUCACACCAUAGCUGUACAAGCAGAAGCUUCUGGUGAUGAGGCUCUGAGGAUCCUGGUUGUGGGAGUCAGAGGUCAGUCCAGAUUCAGUGCUGCAGAUCUUCUGUCAGGAAGGAAAGACGGAGGACAGGAGGACAGAGAGAUUGUAAAGACUCCAGUAAUUACAGACGGG